rnacentral:pre_miRNA from 1 species
UCGAGUUGAGGUAGUAGGUUGUAUGGUUUAGAAUAACACCAUCAGGAGAUAACUGUACAGCCUCCUAGCUUUCCCCGG